GAACGCGGACGUGUGUCGGUCGUCGCUGCCGUCGCUCGCUACGCCUACGCUCUCGUUUUCUGUUUGUCCGUCUUGUGAUUGCAAAAAUUAAAAAAAAAAAAAGCAAGCAGCAAGCAUCAGCCCAAAGGCAAGAAAUUUAACAACAAAUUUUCUUUUUCACGCGUAUGUGUGUGAGUGUGUUUGUACAUAUAUUUUUGCUAACCAAAGCGUGAAAAAAUAGUUUUAAUAAAAAAAAAACGCAAAUUGCUAAAAAAUUUGUUUUCUUUUUUUUUCGGUGUUGUUUUUGUUAUUGUUAUUAAUCGUGCACAGCUGCUGGAAAUAUACAUAGAAACAUAUAUAUGUCAUAGACGCCACCGACGCGCACCGCAGCCAUGCGCAUCAGAAGCAGCAGCGGCAACAACAUCAGCCAGAACAACAACAGCAACAACAACAGCAACAAUCGAUGAUUGCCUAAGAGUAAGCUAUAAAGAUAGAAUGAGCGAUUGCAGGAAGUGAGAAGUUGAAGAAGUUGCGAAGCGAGAAGGAGUUACACUAAGCUAAAGCUGAAGCUGAACCUAAAGCCCGCCGUAAUAUAACCAAAGACGCCAAAGACCAAUUUAAAAAUAAUAAUAAACACCAACCGACUCCAUAAUGCUGAUCAAGGAGUACCGCAUACCUUUGCCCCUCACCGUUGAGGAGUAUCGCAUUGCCCAACUGUACAUGAUAGCGAAAAAGAGCCGCGAGGAGAGUCAUGGCGAAGGUAGCGGCGUUGAGAUUAUUAUCAAUGAACCAUAUAAAGAUGGACCCGGCGGCAAUGGACAGUAUACGAAAAAAAUCUAUCAUGUCGGCAGUCAUUUACCCGGCUGGAUUAAAAGUCUGCUGCCCAAAAGCGCGCUAACCGUGGAGGAGGAAGCCUGGAAUGCUUAUCCGUAUACACGCACUCGUUAUACCUGCCCAUUUGUGGAGAAAUUUUCGCUGGACAUUGAGACGUAUUAUCAUCCCGACAAUGGCUAUCAGGAUAAUGUGUUUCAGCUGUCGGGCAGUGAUCUACGCAAUCGCGUUGUAGAUGUGAUUGACAUUGUCAAGGAUCAGCUAUGGGGCGGAGAUUAUGUGAAGGAAGAGGAUCCCAAGCAUUUCGUAUCGGACAAGACGGGACGUGGUCCGCUCGGCGAUGAUUGGCUUGAGGAGUAUUGGCGCGAAGUGAAGGGGAAGAAGCAGCCAACGCCACGGAAUAUGUCGCUAAUGACCGCCUAUAAGAUAUGCCGUGUCGAGUUUCGCUAUUGGGGCAUGCAAACCAAGCUGGAGAAGUUCAUACACGAUGUCGCGUUGCGCAAGACAAUGCUACGCGCCCAUCGUCAGGCCUGGGCGUGGCAGGACGAAUGGCAUGGCCUCACCAUCGAGGACAUACGCGAGCUUGAGUUGCAAACGCAGUUGGCGUUGGCCAAGAAAAUGGGCAGUGGCGAGGAAUGCAGUGAUGAAAGCACCUCUGAGCCGUAUGUGAGCAGCGCCACAGUUGCCCCACAAUUGGGUGAGCGAAAGAAAUCUGCUCCGGCUGUGCCACCAAUUGUCACCCAGCAACCGCCCAGCGCAGAGGCGAGCUCGGAUGAGGAUGAUGACGACGAUGAUGAGGAGGAUGAAAACGAUGGAGUGGGCACUGGCGUUGAGCUGGGUGCCCAAAGCAGCAGCAAUCAACGGUCUCGUUCCCAAAGCAUUCAGUUGGCCAAUAAAGCAAAGUUUGGCUCAAAGGGCGCUCUCCACUCGCCGGUGGGUUCGGCGCACAGUUUUGAUCUGCAGCCCACAAAACCGCAUGCAAAGACAGCGCCACGCCGACAUGUGGCCAACUGGCGCAUGGAACGUCUUGAGGUUGACUCCAAGUCCAAUUCAGAUGAGGAGUUCUUCGAUUGUCUGGACACAAAUGAGACAAAUUCCCUGGCCAAAUGGAGUUCACUGGAGCUGCUUGGCGAAGGAGACGACAGUCCGCCUCCGCAUGGUGGCAGCUCGAGCGGCAGCGGUGGAGGCGGCGGUGCCAGUGGACGGCAUAAGCAGGACGAUAGCAUAUUCAAUCAGGACUUUCUAAUGCGUGUCGCAUCGGAGCGCGGCAAUAAGCGACAGCUGCGCUCCUCGGCGAGCAUCGAUCGCAGUCACGACUCAUCGCCCCCAGGAUCGCCGAGUACACCCUCUUGCCCCACCACCAUACUGGUGAUGGUGGUGCAUGCCGGCAGCGUGCUGGACGCGGCCAGUGAAUUGACCGCCAAGAAAUCGGAUGUAACCACAUUCCGUGGCUCAUUCGAGGCCGUUAUGCGUCAGCAUUAUCCCAACCUGCUGACGCAUAUGACGAUCAAAAUGGUGCCGUGUCCAUCGAUAUGCACCGAUGCCCUUGGCAUCCUCUCCAGCCUCAGUCCGUACUCGUUUGAUGCCUCACCAUCGGCCGCCGAUAUACCCAACAUAGCGGAUGUACCCAUCGGUGCCAUUCCGUUGCUGGCUGUGGCAUCGCCCGAAUUCCAGGAGACGGUCAACAAAACGGUGGCCGCUGCCAAUAUUGUGUAUCAUGAGUUCCUCAAAUCGGAGGAGGGUCACGGCUUCUCCGGCCAAAUUGUCAUGCUGGGCGAUUCGAUGGGUUCGCUGCUCGCCUACGAGGCGCUUUGUCGCGGCAAUGGCAGCGCCACACAGCCGAAUACAUCGUCCAACCAAUCACAGACACCAGCGACGGGUGCGGGUGGCGAUGGCAGUUGCCGCAUGUCACGCAUGGACGAUGAUGAGCGUUUUAUUGAUUCCGAUUUGGAUGCCAAACGUUUGUUGGUCGCCCCAUCGCCGCGACGUCGUCGCUCCAGUUCGUCGAGUGAUUCGCGUGCCACGAAAUUGGAUUUCGAAGUCAGUGAUUUCUUUAUGUUUGGCUCACCGUUGUCCGUGGUGUUGGCCGCACGUAAAUUGCACGAUGCCAAGGCGGCGCUGGCACGUCCCAAUUGCCAUCAGGUGUACAAUCUGUUCCAUCCAACCGAUCCAAUUGCCUCGCGUCUCGAGCCGUUGCUCAGUGCUCGCUUCUCCAUAUUGUCGCCGGUGAAUGUGCCGCGCUAUGCCAAAUAUCCGUUGGGCAAUGGACAGCCCCUGCAUUUAUUGGAGGUCAUACAAUCGCAUCCGCAGCAUUUCAAUGAUGGCAAUAAUCUGUUGGCUGGCAGACGUUUAUCCGAUGCCUCCAUGCAGAGCACCAUCUCUGGUCUUAUCGAGAAUGUCUCGCUCAGCACGAUACACUCAUUGCAAAACAAAUGGUGGGGCACCAAGCGCUUGGACUAUGCGCUCUACUGUCCAGAGGGUUUGAGCAACUUCCCUGCACACGCAUUGCCGCAUUUGUUCCAUGCCAGCUACUGGGAGAGUCCCGAUGUGAUUGCCUUUAUACUGCGACAAAUUGGUAAAUUCGAGGGCAUACCGUUCGUGGGCUCCAACGAUGACAAGGACAAUGCCUCGUUUCAUCCGGGACAACCGCGCGAAAAGUGGAUCAAGAAGCGCACGUCGGUUAAACUGAAGAAUGUGGCUGCGAAUCAUCGGGCCAACGAUGUGAUUGUGCAAGAGGGGCGUGAGCAGCGUUUGAAUGCGCGCUUCAUGUACGGCCCGUUGGAUAUGAUAACGUUGCAUGGGGAGCGGGUGGAUGUGCAUAUUAUGAAGGAUCCGCCGGCGGGUGAAUGGACAUUCCUAACCACCGAAAUGACCGACAAGAAUGGACGCAUCUCGUACAGUAUACCCGAUCAAUUGUCACUUGGUUAUGGCAUCUAUCCGGUCAAGAUGGUGGUGCGUGGCGAUCACACCUCUGUCGAUUGUUAUAUGGCCGUGGUGCCGCCAAUGACGGAAUGUGUUGUAUUCAGCAUCGAUGGUUCCUUCACCGCAUCCAUGUCGGUGACCGGACGUGAUCCGAAAGUCCGUGCCGGUGCCGUCGACGUCUGUCGCCAUUGGCAAGAGUUGGGCUAUUUGCUCAUCUAUAUCACGGGUCGACCCGAUAUGCAGCAACAGCGUGUCGUCUCGUGGCUGAGUCAGCAUAACUUUCCACACGGUCUUAUCUCGUUCGCCGAUGGUUUAUCCACCGAUCCGUUGGGUCACAAGACCGCCUAUCUCAAUAAUCUCGUGCAAAAUCAUGGAAUCUCAAUUACCGCCGCCUAUGGCAGUAGCAAGGAUAUUAGUGUGUACACCAAUGUGGGCAUGCGACACGAACAAAUCUUUAUUGUUGGCAAGGUCAGCAAGAAAUUGCAAUCGAAUGCAACGGUGCUGACCGAGGGCUAUGCCGCUCAUUUGGCCGGUCUCCAGGCAGUUGGUGGCUCUCGGCCGGCAAAGGGCAAUGCACGCAUGGUCAUACCUCGAGGUUGCUUCAAUCUGCCCGGGCAAUCCGCGAAUCCGAGGCGCAGAAGCAAUGAGACGGGCCUAUCAUCGCCAAUACGAAGUGGAUACCUGAAGCGCAAAACCUACUUAAGCCAUCACUAGAAUCCCGAUUUGGAGAGUGGCAAUGAUUUGUUUAGUUAAAGAAAUCGAGCAACCAUCGAGAAACUCCAUAAAUAUCUCUAAUAGUACACACAUAGAUAUCCACCAUCUAACAAGUGCUUCGAUCCUGUGUAGCUGAGACAUGCAACAAUACCAACAAUAAAUCAUCUAAUAAUAAUCUUAAUCAGUUCGUGGAUCCUCGAUCAGCAUUAGUUGCAGUUUAACACCACCAACCAAACAACCAAACAACCAACCAACAACAGCAAAAGCAACAAAACAACCGAACACAUCUCAGCAUCGAUGCUCCCCAUAAACUACAUCUGUGUAUAUACAUAAAAAAAAUAUAUAUAUAUAUUAUGCGCGAUAUAUAGCAAAAUUAUCUGGUGUAUAUAAAAAUAAACAAAUGCAAAGAAACAAAACAAAAAAAAACUUUAAUUCAAUUGUACAACAUAUUAAUAAAGUCAAAUGUGUCACGCGGUACCUGGAAAGAAAGACUGUUUCCUCCUGUUGUUUGAUGGUUUUCCAAACCACUUAAAGAAAAAAAAAUACAAAUCACAAAAUAAAAAACACUAAAAUCUAAAAAAAAAACUUAAAUGGAAAAUGAAUUCAUAAUUUAAAGGCAAACAAAAAAUUAAAAGCACAAACAAAUAAUGUGCUAUAUAUUGUAUAACAAAAUCAUUAAAAAAAAAGAAAACUAUACACAUACUACUCAGUCUAUGAAACCGUUUAACAUACAUAUACAAAACGAACAAAGUUCAGUAAAAUGAGGUUAUUACUAAAGGUCAAAGAACAACUGUGGAGAUAAUUAGAAGUACCGUAAAUGGAGAUAAGAUAAUCAUUCUAUUUUUGAAAGAUCUCCAAUGAAGAAACCACUUACACAAUUAUGGCUGGCACGAACGAAUAAAUAAUAAUAUUGCGUCGGGCGACAAGGUAAAAAGCGUUGCAAAAUCAAAUGGCAAAUUCAAUGCAUUUCUUGAACAAAAACAAAAAACAAAAAAAUAUAAUAAUAAUUAUACUAAUUACACAAAUAAUAAUACUAUUUAAAUGAAAUUGCUUUCGUAAGCGAAUUAAAUGGGGCAAUUUUGAAUUUCACAUUCAAUAAUUGGAAUUUUGGAGCCCCACAAAUAUAAUAAAAAUAAAAGUUAAUUGAAAAUAAAAAAACUCUACUUAUAUGUGUCUCGUAUGUGUGUGUAAAGUUAUAAACUUAUUCCAAGUGAAAAAUAAAACAAUCUGAUUCUAAUUCUAGUCCUAAGGGAAUCCCCGUAAGAAAUCUCUAUAAUUGUGAUAGUCUUUCGCUACUAAGAAUGCAAAAAAACCAAAAGUUAUUGAAAUCUAUUCAAAACAAAAUUGUUGUAUGUUAUGGCAGACAAAAUUGUUUUUUUUUUUUUAUGUAAAGCGAAAAAUAUUUACAUACUUUAUAAAAAGAGUAGAAGAAACACCCGAAAAAAAAAAAAAAAAACUGAAAAAUGUUUGUAACUAAGUUUUGAAUGUAACAUACUCGUACUAUAUUCAGUUCGAUUCGUUCGAGUUCUGUAGAUGUUAGUGUUAUACAGUUACAAAAUAUAUGUUACUGAUAUCUGUGUAUGGUAUAUGUACCAUAUGUGACCUAUCUAUCCAUAAACCGGAAAUGAAAACUGCGCUCAUUUGUGAUAAACAAUAAUUGAGUACAUUUGUAGUAUGUAGAGAAAUGCAAAUCUUGAUAAAUAAAAUAACAAACAAACAAACAAAAAAAGAAAAUAAUCAACAAAAUC